rnacentral:rRNA from 1 species
GCAUGUCUAAGUGGAGUGUUAUACAGCGAAACUGCGAACGGCUCAUUACAACAGAUAUAAUUUACUAGUUCUUGAUCCUAUAUGGAUAACUGCGGUAAUUCUGGAGCCAAUACAUGCAUCAAGCUUCGGCCUUCGGGUUCGGAGUGCAAUUAUUGGAGCAAAACCAGUCUCGUACUGUUUGCUAACUCUGGAUAAUUCUGCUUAUCGCAUGGUCUUGUACCGGCGAAGUUUCUUUCAAGUAUCUGCUUUAUCAACUAUCGUUGGUAGUUUAUUGGACUACCAUGGUGUUGACGGGUAACGGAGAAUCAGGGUUUGACUCCGGAGAGGGAGCCUUAGAAACGGCUACCAUGUCUAAGGAUAGCAGCAGGCGCGAAAAUUACCCAAUAUCAAUUCGAUGAGGUAGUGACGAGAAAUAACGAGAUCGUUCUCUUUGAGGUCGAUUAUUGGAAUGAGUACAAUCCAGAAAUUUUAACGAGUAUCUACGAGAGGGCAAGUCUGGUGCCAGCAGCCGCGGUAAUUCCAGCUCUCGUAAUGUAUAGAAUUAUUGUUGCGAUUAAAAAGUUCGUAGUUGGAUUGUCACGCGGGCAUGGGUCCACCUUCGUGGUGCGUACUCAAUGUUCGCAUUUUGUUGGUUUUCGCGGCGUUGUUUCGGCAGCGUCCGUGAUGCCAGCAGGAUUACUUUGAACGGCUCAAGUGCUCAAAGCGAGUCUUAUGACUGAAUACCGGUGCAUGGAAUAAUGGAACAAGGUUGCGGCCGAGUUUUAUUGGUUUUGUCGGCUGAAACAAUGGUUAACAGGAACAGCCGGGGGCAUUCGUAUCGCUGCGCGAGA